rnacentral:lncRNA from 1 species
GUUGGGAGUGAGGUGCUGGAUUCAGCCCUUGUCUGUCUGACAAGAGCAGGUUCUACGACCUUAAGGCCGAUUUGGGAUGCGAUCAGUAGUACAGAAAGCAGCUGAGGUUUUCAAGGAUGCAUAGUUUAUACUGAGAGAAACUGGAACCCCUCUUUACAGAUCUCCACAAAGUAAAUUGGAACAUGAGCUGCUGAAAGGACAAGAGUGAUGCCUCAGCUGAAACUCUGUUAUGACAGAUUUUAUUAAACCUCCACUGAAGUACUUCGCAUGUGCAGAACUGUAGACAUUUUAGGACAAGGGGGACCACUGGAAAAUUUCAAGGAAGUUGGGGGUGUACCCGUCACAAGCAGGAGGCAAGGUCUUAUGCCCGCUGCAGCCCAUGUGCCGAAGAUUCACUGCCACCGGUCUACAUAUGCUGGAUUCUCAUUGAAGUUGCUCAGAUUGCGCUGUUUGGACCAGGGGCAGCCACGCGGGGGUGGCACAGGGGUGCGCUGCUCGGCCCGGCAGUGUGCAGCUCGGAGCCGUGGUGGACCUGCUGCCGGCCCGGGGAGGCUGAGGAGGCCCUGGCUGCCUGUGUUCUUUCCAAGCCUGGGGCUCCUGCUGCCCAUCCCAGCUGUCAAAUCCUCACUCUGGGAGCUUCCAUCAGGGCUGUGGGGAGCCGCAUCUCCCUCGCAGCACCCUGCUGUGCGGACCUUUUGCCUCAACAAAUAAAAACACAAUACUCUUCUUGGUAAAAAAAAUAAAGCAUGUUUCGUAGAAAAUUAACAAGGCAAGUAUUAUUAAAAAGAACAAGAACUGCCCAUCAUUUGAACACCCAGAGCUUCAUCAUUUUAACAUUUAGGUGUGGAUCCUUUCAUCUUUUUGUCUGUGAGACUAGCAUAGAAAAGAAUAGAGAACCUUUUUUUUUCAUAAACUUGGAACCUCCUGAGUUUCUGUCAUUCCCAGCCCUUCGUUCUGCCUUUGUUCUCUGAUGCUGUAGUUGAAAGCAGAUCUCCUUCCUCUCCUUCACACACCGGCUCACCCACUUCGACCCACGCGCGCUCUCGAUUUCCUGCUGGCUCAGCCUGGACAGCAGCUCCUCCGCGAGUGCGAGCGCUGGUGCUCUGCAGUUCCAGGGACCCCAGGAGCAACCUGCUCCCCCUCAGGGCCAGAGUCGCUAAGAACUGGGUCAGAGAAAGCCCAAAGAGCAGCCUGGGCUGUGUGAGGUUAUGGAGUUGAAGUCCAGAGCAUAGAAACUCUACUGAACUUUUUACUAAAUUAGAGAAUAAGACAAAGCAGAAAUUGAAAGCACAGAUUUUUGAGGAAAUUUAUCUGUGAAAUCAGAAGGAUGGGUUAGUGAGACAAAGUGAGAACUGGAAUGUGGGAAAAUUGGGAAUGUUUGGACAAAACAGAUGUGGCAGCCAGGUAUGGUGGUAUGUGCCUAUAAUCCCAGUAUUCUGGGAAAGCUGAGGCAGGAGGAUGGCAAGUUAGAAACCAGCCUGGGCUAUUUAGCAAAGAGUUUGUCUGGAAUGAGUGAGUGAAGGAAUGAAUGAAUGGGCUGGGAGUGUAGCUCAGUGUGAAGACCCUGGGUUCAAUUCCCAGUGCUUAGGAAGAAACCCAACACAACAGAACCAAAUAAACCAAAACAAAGAAGUGAAGGCAGAGACACGCACAGUCUCAAAUACAUCAAAUGCUGAUAAUUAUUAAACCUGCAUUGUAAGUUUCCAGAUUUUGUUAUCUCCCGCUCUGUAAAGCAUUUAAUAAAAAAUAAAUGUUGGUUUUUAUUUUACAAUACUAGAAAUGAAAGAAAUUAAAAAAUAAUUGGUAUCCUAAUUCAUGGAUUUUUUUUUUUUUUUUUUUGGUUUUUUUCCUGGUACCGGGAAAAGAACUCACAACCUUGCACUUGCUGGGCAGGCGCUGUGCUGCUGAGCUAAAUCCCCAGCCCCCUAAUUCAUGGAUUGAGUUAACUAACAGUUGUUCUCUAUGCUGUGCAUGGAUCAUUAUUUUUUUUAAAUUUUGGAUCAUUUUUUUGAAGAAUAUGAUUGCAAUUCUUAACAGUCAUAAUUCUAUGAAUAUAAUUAUGAAUUUAGAUUCUUAUAGCUGAAGCUGUUCACUUGUAUUUACUAUGUGAUACUAUUUUUUUUUUUCUUUUUUUUGGUACCGGGAAUCGAACUCACGACCUCACGCUUGCCAGGGAUACUAUAUAUUUUGAAAUAGGAAGUCAAGCUGAAAUCUUUAUUAAUUUCAUGAUACAUGCCAAAAGUAACUAAUUGUUUGAAGUAUUUUUUAAAAAAAUUUAUUUACUUACUUUAGCUUUUGGAGACUGGGUCUCGCUGUGUAGUACUGGUGGCUUUGAACUCGCUGUGUAGCCCAGGCUGGUCUCCCACACCCUGCAGUGCUCCCGUGUGCUGGGAGUACAGCUGUGCACCACUACACUGGAAACUUCUGUUUUAAGUGGUGUCUUUCUCAUCGUUGUUCUAAAGUAAAAUCAGUGGUGAUGAUGCCAAAAAAUUGAAGGCGAGAGUUACCAUCAAUAAGCCUUGAAUAGUAGGUAACUGGCGAUUAAAUACUGUGAUUUGGUUUUCUUCUUACCUGAAUUUUUUUAAAAUUUAUUUUAUUUUACUUAUUCUUUAUUUUGAGACACUGGCUAUGCAGUUCAGGCUGGCCGGAACUCCUAGCAGUCUUGCCUCAGCCUCCCUAGUGCUGGGACUACUGGCAUGUGCCACCUUGGCUGGCUUGCCUGGAUUAUUUUCGGUUUCUUGUAUAAUAUACAGUCCACAUUCAGGUUUCCUCACUUGUCUCACAAAUACGGGGUCCACCCUGAGGGCAGUGACGACUAUUGGGUAUUGAAUUUUCCUCUUCCAGAUCUUUGGGAAUGAAAUGCUGUGGUCCAC